rnacentral:rRNA from 1 species
ACCGCGGUUAUACGAAAGACUCCAGUUGAUAGGUACGGCGUAAAGGGUGGUUAUGGAAAAAUAAAAAAUAAAGCUAAAGGCCCUCUAAGUUGUCAUACGCACUCCGAGGACACGAAACCCAAUCACGAAAGUAGCUUUAAAUAAACUUACCUGACCCCACGAAAGCUAAGAAACAAACUGGGAUUAGAUACCCCACUAUGCUUAGCCAUAAACUUAGAUGUAUCCUUACAUACACAUCCGCCCGGGUACUACGAGCACAGCUUAAAACCCAAAGGACUUGGCGGUGCCUCAGACCCACCUAGAGGAGCCUGUUCUAGAACCGAUAACCCCCGUUAAACCUCAUCACUUCUUGUUUUUUCCGCCUAUAUACCGCCGUCGUCAGCUUACCCUGUGAAGGUCUAACAGUAAGCAAAAUGGGCCCACCCAAAAACGUCAGGUCGAGGUGUAGCGCACGAAGUGGAAAGAAAUGGGCUACAUUUUCUACAUCAUAGAAUAUUACGAACGGCAUCUUGAAACUAGAUACCAGAAGGUGGAUUUAGUAGUAAAAAGUAAAUAGAGUGUACCUUUGAAUUAGGCUCUGAGACGCGCACACACCGCCCGUCACUCUCCCCCACAUAAUUCCAACCAAUCCAUAAUAAAACAACCAUAAACACGGGGAGGCAAGUCGUAACAUGGUAAGUGUACCGGAAGGUGCACUUGGAAUAAC